UUAAAGUUAAUCCUAUGCCCACAUUAAUGUUCCUUUAAACCUAGGACACAAGUCCCAUGAGUCUGGUCUCAAACGGACGGUUGGUUUGGUCACAAUCGCACGAACAAAGGUUCAAACCCAUUGAACCCGAAAAUCACACAAGAAGCGAAAUCUGUUCAGGGUUCAAACGUUAUCCAAAUUAAGAUCCGCGAAUUUCUACGCGCUCGUGACAACACGAGGAUCAUUCUAGGACUGAGUGUGGUCCCCACCAAAUUGCCCACAAGCCGCCUCACGUGCCGGCAGCGCGCGGGUGGCUUGAUAAAUUCCUGGCGGCCAUAAAAACUCCAAACCGCGGGUCCAAAUGCCUAACUUAAGUAAAACACCCAUUUUGGAACCACUUUUGUUCUUGGACCUACCCCAGAAAGUGGCCGGAAGUGGCCGGAAUUACACUCUUAAAACCGGCUGAAACCUAGAUUGAAAAAUUGAACUAUCUACGCUUGAAAUUUCUGGAAUCCUACCCAACCCGCAGCUAGAGCAUGGAAAAUAGCUAGAAAACCAUACCUCACUCGUCCGAUUUGGUGGCCGGAUGAAGGAGAACGAAAGCUUGGAAGUUCUGUCAACUCCGGCGCGAUCUCGAGUGUUUUUCGGUAAAAAACAGCAGUUCCAAGGGCAGGGACCAGUCGAGAAAGGAAGAGGAAGCGGCGGUGGUUCGAUUGGGUCCGGUCCCGUUGGUCGGAGUGGAGUGUGACUGUGGUUAUGGAGAUUUGAAGGUAACGGUUUAAAACAGGGGGGGCGUUGCUGGUCGAGAGAGAAGAGUGAGGGAGAGAGAGAGAGUCAGUUUUUAAAAAAAAUCAUGAUUUCAAAAUUACCAUUUUGCCCUUCUACGUAUUUUGACCGUAUUUUUUUUGUUACAACUUCGAUUCGAGUCCACUCCGUGUCUACGGACUCGUUUCGUCGCACUCUACGCAACGAUGCAAGUGGAAUAGUCAAA
rnacentral:lncRNA from 1 species